rnacentral:rRNA from 1 species
GACGAACGCUGGCGGCGUGCUUAACACAUGCAAGUCGAGCGGUAAGGCCCUUUCGGGGGUACACGAGCGGCGAACGGGUGAGUAACACGUGGGUGACCUGCCCUCAGCUCUGGGAUAAGCCUGGGAAACCGGGUCUAAUACCGGAUAUGACUCCAUGACGCAUGUUGUGGGGUGGAAAGCCUUGUGCGGCUGAGGAUGGGCCCGCGGCCUAUCAGCUUGUUGGUGGGGUGANGGCCUACCAAGGCUUUGACGGGUAGCCGGCCUGAGAGGGUGUUCGGCACACUGGGACUGAGACACGGCCCAGACUCCUACGGGAGGCAGCAGUGGGGAAUAUUGCGCAAGUGGGCGUAAGCCUGACGCAGCGACGCCGCGUGGGGAGUGAAGGCC